UUCGGCAGCACAUAUACUAAAAAAAAAAAAAAAUUGGAACGAUACAGAGAAGAUUAGCAUGGCCCCUGUGCAAGGAUGACACGCAAAUUCGUGAAGCGUUCCAAAAAAAA
rnacentral:snRNA from 1 species